AUGCAAAUCAAAGCACGUCUUAUAAUAAGAAGAAAUCUUUCUCGGUAUCAAUCCGCUUGCCCCUCAUUCUUUGAGAAUGAGGAUAAUCCUUUUCGAGUUAACAUUUCUUCAUUUGGAAUCUGGGCUCUUCUAUCUUCGACUGGAGUUAGGGCAUCUCCAAUGCAAACCCUUAAAAUGGACACGGUAUUUGUCCGGGGAUAG
rnacentral:rRNA from 1 species